rnacentral:lncRNA from 1 species
CGACGCUAAUGAGAUGGGUGAACGACGAUGACCACGCUUUUCAUAUGGAGUACUAAUAAUCAACUCAUAAUCUCGAGCUAAAGAAUAAGCGUGAUCAAGAGUAGUGACACCUCGAAGGAAAAGCUCGUGCUUAAGAUCAUCUCUCAGACCUUGGCUAAACCUACUCAAAGUCAUGCUUUCAUCCUCAAUUAAAUGACAUUUGGUUCGAAAUUCCUCAAAUUGCGCGAUAUACUCAGUCACUAAUUGAUUUCCUUGUUUAAGGGCAUUCCAUUGAGUAAGAAUUUCAAAAUUAUCUCGUUCUCGCUUACGAAUCUGGUCCCUAUUCCAACGAUCGCGUUGAAAAUAUUUUUGAUCACUUUGUCCACAAUGAUAUUGUCUAUUAUGAGACGCUUCAGAAUUAGUGUCAGUUAAACGAGGGGUUCGCUUAAAAUUGCUCAACUUAGCAGCUAGGUUCUUUCUCUCCUCACAAGUAGCAG